rnacentral:rRNA from 1 species
UGGGGAAUAUUGCACAAUGGAGGAAACUCUGAUGCAGCAACGCCGCGUGGAGGAUGACGCAUUUCGGUGUGUAAACUCCUUUUAUAAGGGAAGAUAAUGACGGUACCUUAUGAAUAAGUACCGGCUAACUCCGUGCCAGCAGCCGCGGUAAUACGGAGGGUGCAAGCGUUACUCGGAAUCACUGGGCGGAAAGGGUGCGUAGGCUGGAAAUCAAGUCGAGAGUGAAAUCCAACGGCUCAACCGGUGAACUGCUCUCGAAACUGGUCACCUAGAAUAUGGGAGAGGUAGAUGGAAUUGGUGGUGUAGGGGUAAAAUCCGUAGAUAUCACCAGGAAUACCGAUUGCGAAGGCGAUCUACUGGAACAUUAUUGACGCUGAGGCAUGAAAGCGUGGGGAGCAAACA